rnacentral:rRNA from 1 species
UACGGGGGGGGGCAAGCGUUGUUCGGAAUUACUGGGCGUAAAGGGCUCGUAGGCGGCCAACUAAGUCAGACGUGAAAUCCCCUCGGCUUAACCGGGGAACUGCGUCUGAUACUGGAUGGCUUGAGGUUGGGAGAGGGAUGCGGAAUUCCAGGUGUAGCGGUGAAAAUGCGUAGAUAUCGGGAGGAACACCGGUGGCGAAGGCGGCCUUCUGGACGGAUACUGACGCUGAUACGCGAAAGCGUGGGGAGCAAACAGG